rnacentral:rRNA from 1 species
GAGUUUGAUCAUGGCUCAGAUUGAACGCUGGCGGCAAGCCUUACACAUGCAAGUCGAACGGCAGCACGGGAGCUUGCUCCUGGUGGCGAGUGGCGAACGGGUGAGUAAUGCAUCGGAACGUAUCCUGGAGUGGGGGAUAACGUAGCGAAAGUUACGCUAAUACCGCAUAUUCUGUGAGCAGGAAAGCGGGGGACCUUCGGGCCUCGCGCUCUUGGAGCGGCCGAUGUCGGAUUAGCUAGUUGGUGAGGUAAAGGCUCACCAAGGCGACGAUCCGUAGCAGGUCUGAGAGGAUGAUCUGCCACACUGGAACUGAGACACGGUCCAGACUCCUACGGGAGGCAGCAGUGGGAAUUUGGACAAUGGGGGCAACCCUGAUCCAGCCAUGCCGCGUGAGUGAAGAAGGCCUUC